UUUUUUAUUACUAUUUUUAGAGUAAGAGACAUUGUUAAGAGACAAUAGGAAAUAUGCACAUUAUUACUAGGACUUUGUAGUUACAGUAACUUUAUCUCCACUUCCACUCAUCUUCCUUUCUUUUUCUGAGCUAUGAUCCUUUACACAACUGCACACAAAUUCCGAGAUCUUAAAUCAAACUAACACUGGAACUGGAGAAGAUUUGUCCACUGUUUCGUAAUCACAGCAACAGUCCUCAACCAAAGCUUUGUAUUUUACCAUUUCCCUCUGUAUAUAUCAACAAUUUCAUCAAAAAGAUUCAGUUUUUAUAUUAUCUUCAAUCCAAAAACCAAAGCUUUGACCUUUUAACUCUUGUCAACACAAAACAAAGUUCAUCAAAUUCAGACACGAACAUGUAACUGAGAUCCUUUGUGUCCACAUUCCGUUAUAUCAGAUUGAAGCAAAAAGAUGGAGAGUAAAUAAUCACGAACCUGAAGUGAGAAACAGAGG
rnacentral:lncRNA from 1 species